ACUCAAAUGAAUAGACGGGGGCCCGCACAAGCAGUGGAGUAUGUGGUUUAAUUCGAAGCAACGCGAAGAACCUUACCAGGGCUUGACAUCCUGCUAACGAAGCAGAGAUGCAUUAGGUGCCCUUCGGGGAAAGCAGAGACAGGUGGUGCAUGGUUGUCGUCAGCUCGUGUCGUGAGAUGUUGGGUUAAGUCCCGCAACGAGCGCAACCCUUACGGUUAGUUGCUACGCAAGAGCACUCUAGCCGGACUGCCGUUGACAAAACGGAGGAAGGCGGGGACGACGUCAAAUCAUCAUGCCCCGUAUGUCCUGGGCUACACACGUACUACAAUGGCGGUCAUACAGAGGGAAGCAAUACAGUGAUGUGGAGCAAAACCCUAAAAGCCGCCUCAGUUCAGAUUGCAGGCUGCAACUCGCCUGCAUGAAGUCGGAAUUGCUAGUAAUCGCGGAUCAGCAUGCCGCGGUGAAUACGUUCCCGGGCCUUGCACACACCGCCCGU
rnacentral:rRNA from 1 species